rnacentral:tRNA from 1 species
GCGGACAUAGUUCAUCGGUAGAACACUAGCUUCCCAAGCUUGUAAGGCGGGUUCGAUUCCCGUUGUCCGCUCCA